GCUCACUUUGGCAGCUUACACGAAAAUUAGAACGACACAGAGAUUAGCGCCGCCCUUGCACGAGGAGGACAUGCAAAUUCAUCAAAUAUUCCAUAUUUUU
ensembl:snRNA U6 U6 spliceosomal RNA